rnacentral:rRNA from 1 species
UACGGGGGGGGCAAGUGUUGUUCGGAAUUACUGGGCGUAAAGGGCUCGUAGGUGGCCAACUAAGUCGGACGUGAAAUCCCUCGGCUUAACCGGGGAACUGCGUCCGAUACUGGAUGGCUUGAGUUUGGGAGAGGGACGCGGAAUUCCUGGUGUAGCGGUGAAAUGCGCAGAUAUCAGGAGGAACACCGAUGGCGAAGGCAGGUCUCUGGGCCACUACUGACGCUGAGAAGCGAAAGCAUGGGGAGCGAACAGG